CGGACGGGUGGAGGUAACGACGUGGAAACCGUAGCGUACUACUGGGGAGUAACACUUAGAAAUAGGUGCUAAUACCGCAUAAGCGCACAGCUUCGCAUGAAGCGGUGUGAAAACUCUGGUGGUAUACGAUGGUUCCGCGUCUGAUUAGCUAGUUGGUGGGGUAAUGGCCUACCAAGGCAACGAUCAGUAGCCGGCUUGAGAGGGUGAACGGCCACAUUGGGACUGAGACACGGCCCAAACUCCUACGGGAGGCAGCAG
rnacentral:rRNA from 1 species